AGUUGUCGAGAUUCCCUUGCGCAGCUCGCAGUCGAAUGAAGCGCGAUCACACUAUAAAGGAGCUGGAUAAGCAUCAAGCAGACAGAGCUACAUAUGGGCAGUAAGAAAAAACUUAUUUAAAAGUAAAGUUUCCAGACGCUGAAUUCCGUGCCACACAAAUUCAUAAAUCCCACUGCAAAUAGAAAAGCCGCAAGAAUGCCAAGUCCACGUCCAUGUCCUGGUCCUGGUCGAGGUCCAUUCCUGAUGCACAGGCUAAGCAGACAACCACUCAGUGGGUGGCAAACGCCUCCUAUCAGUCAGUCUGCAAAAUAAAUAAAAAUAAAAAACAAGAAAA